CCUACGGGAGGCAGCAGUGAGGAAUAUUGGUCAAUGGGCGAGAGCCUGAACCAGCCAAGUCGCGUGAGGGAGUACUGCCCUAUGGGUUGUAAACCUCUUUUGUCGGGGAGCAAAAGCCGGACGUUUCCGGCUGUGAGAGUACCCGAAGAAAAAGCAUCGGCUAACUCCGUGCCAGCAGCCGCGGUAAUACGGAGGAUGCGAGCGUUAUCCGGAUUUAUUGGGUUUAAGGGGUGCGCAGGCGGAUUUUUAAGUCAGCGGUAAAAUCGUGGGGGCCAACCCCAUCCAGCCGUUGAAACUGGGGAUCUAGAGUGUGCGAGAGGUAUGCGGAAUGCGUGGUGUAGCGGUGAAAUGCAUAGAUAUCACGCAGAACCCCGAUUGCGAAGGCAGCAUACCGGUGCACAACUGACGCUCAGGCACGAAAGCGUGGGUAUCGAACAGGAUUAGAUACCCUGGUAGUC
rnacentral:rRNA from 1 species